rnacentral:rRNA from 1 species
UACGUAGGGAGCGAGCGUUGUCCGGAAUUACUGGGCGUAAAGGGUGCGCAGGCGGCCUGUCAAGUCAGAUGUGAAAGACCGGGGCUUAACCCCGGGGGUGCAUUUGAAACUGGCAGGCUUGAGGAUGGCAGAGGUAAGUGGAAUCCCUAGUGUAGCGGUGGAAUGCGUAGAUAUUAGGAGGAACACCAGUGGCGAAGGCGGCUUACUGGGCCAUUACUGACGCUGAGGCACGAAAGCGUGGGGAGCAAACAGG